CCCUUAGACGUUCUGGGCCGCACGCGCGCUACACUGACGAAGGCAACGAGCUUUCCUUUACCGAAAGGUACGGGUAAUCUUUUGAAACUUCGUCGUGCUGGGGAUAGAUCCUUGCAAUUUUUGAUCUUAAACGAGGAAUGCCUAGUAAGCGCAAGUCAUCAACUUGCGUUGAUUACGUCCCUGCCCUUUGUACACACCGCCCGUCGCUACUACCGAUUGAAUGGUUUAGUGAGGCCUUCGGAUCCGCGACUCGUUUUGUGGAGAAGUUGGACAAACUCCGUCAUUUAGAGGAAGUAAAAGUCGUAACA
rnacentral:rRNA from 1 species